UACGGAGGGUGCAAGCGUUAAUCGGAAUUACUGGGCGUAAAGCGUGCGCAGGCGGUUUGUUAAGUCUGUUGUGAAAUCCCCGGGCUUAACCUGGGAACUGCAUUGGUGACUGGCGGGCUAGAGUGUGGCAGAGGGGGGUAGAAUUCCACGUGUAGCAGUGAAAUGCGUAGAGAUGUGGAGGAAUACCGAUGGCGAAGGCAGCCCCCUGGGCUAACACUGACGCUCAUGCACGAAAGCGUGGGGAGCAAACAGG
rnacentral:rRNA from 1 species